AGAAUCAACGCUGGCGGCGUGCCUCAGACAUGCAAGUCGAACGCGAAAGUCCCCUUCGGGGGGCAAGUAGAGUGGCGCACGGGUGAGUAACACGUAGGUAAUCUACCUUUGGAUGGGGAAUAACAAUCGGAAACGGUUGCUAAUACCGCAUAAUGCAGCGGCACCUAAUGGUGACAGUUGUUAAAGCGGGGAUCGAAAGACCUCGCGUCUGAAGAGGAGCCUGCGGCGGAUUAGCUAGUUGGUAAGGUAAUGGCUUACCAAGGCUACGAUCC
rnacentral:rRNA from 1 species